rnacentral:lncRNA from 1 species
GGAAGCGGGUCAGGGUCUGCAAGCCAACGGCCCAGCUCAGCGGACUGGUCCGGCUGCUCAGCUAGGCAGCCAGCGUCCGUGCCCGCAACGCGGUUGCCUUCCCCUGGGCUGGAGAGUGGGGACGUCCCUCCCCCGCCCCCAGGCGUCCCUAGGGUCGGCGCCAGAGCCCUGGAGCCCCGGAGACUUUCUCUGGAGGAAGGCGAGGCGGGCUCUGGGUCCUCUCCCAGCCAGGCCGAGCUUAGCAUGUGGAGGUGGCGCGGGAGCGCGGGCAUGGACCAAGGGAAGGGGGACCCCCAAACCGCACUGGUGCUUUCCUUUCCCUCCACUCGCGCCGUAGCCCUCCCCAAAUUGCCCGUCUCCGGUAGGACUGACUCUGCCUGCCUGGCCUCUCAGCUACCAACUUUGCCCGAAAUCUAGAUCCCAGACCUGAGAUGUGGGUGAAACUAAACGUUUUGAAUGGUCACAUGGAGACAAAUGUGGACACUAGCCUGGCUGCAGUGGAAAUUUCAUCAUGGAAAUCAGUAAAAACUAAAGUCUUCCAAACUGGCCUCUCUAAUUCCUCUUUUCUCUGCAUUAAGACCGACAUCAAGCAAGCAAACAUUUCUUCAACUCACAAGAGACAUCAGUUCAGGUCACAGAUACUUUUGCCAGAAAUAGUCUUGCUCUGCCAUCCAGGCUGGACUGCAGUAGUGCAGUCAUAG